CCUGUCACUGCUUCAGUAGGCAAGCUGGUGAGAGAGCCAACUCCAGCUCUUUUCCGGGGGCCUGCAUUUGGAAGUAUACAGAGGGAGCAUGGCUUUCAAACCCUGACACAGGUUGGAAGAAUGUGGAACUUGGCCAUUCUUCUUCCAAAGCCUGGGAUUCUCUAGCAGUUCCUCCCAAAGCCUGGGAUUCUCUAGCAGUUCCUCCCAAAGCCUUGGAUUCUCUAGCAGUUCCUUGAUGAGUUCGGCAUGCCUUUCUCCUACCAUCCUGCACACCAUCACCGAAAUGACCCAGGGAAGCUCCUUGGGAGAAAGUUAGAUUCCAUGAAUGACCCUAGGUCUUGAAAGUCAGAGGCUCAGCCCUAACCAGAUGACACCCCCCUGAAGCAGCAGCGCACUUCAGACUACAGACAAGUCAGUAAAUAACUCUGAUUCCCUCUGAAGUGAUCACACAGGUUGCCUGAAUAAGGGCCAAGCAUCUCUAAUUUCUUCCUCUGUGUUUUGUGGUUGUGAGAAUAUUGACCCCACACAUAACUUUCUCAGUUAAAUUCCCUCAACUCAAAACUGGACCUUCGAAACGAACUGAAACUCAUUCUCAAAUGAACUGCAACUGAUCCCAGAAAGCAUACAUUGUACGGAGUGAGAGAAAGCUGGAUAACUUCCCAUCGUGCCUGUGGGCAACUUUACCUCUUCCCAGCUUAACCUCUCUGGGCAAGAAGAGGCCCAGAUGUCAGCUUCCGUGAGAGGGCCGGAGACAUGCGGACUCCAUGAGGAGCUUGCUCCUACUGUCUCCUACCUAAGAAGAGACCCAGAUGUCAGCUUCCUUGAGAAGGCUGGAAACACACGGGCUUCAUGAGGAGCUUGCUCCUACUGUCUCCUGAUUCCAGCCAGGCCAGGCCUGAUAAACAACUCCAGAACAACGGGGUAGGAGAGUCGACUAAAUGAAGAAUCCUGGAUCUAGUCACAGAGUAACACCGUACACUUGUUUAACCAAACCAUCCCACCCAAGCUACUGGCGGCAGCUGCUUCAAAAUAUCAGAUCAAGUGUGCCCCCUCCUGUCCCUCCUCCUUGGCAUUCUCUUUUUAAGACAGCCUAAAGUUCACAGGCUGGCCUUGAACUUCGGAUCCUCCCAUCCCCCUCCCUGGGUGAUGGAAUCAUAGUGUUUAUUCAGUGCAGAGUAUCAUACCCCAUCCCAGGCAAGCACUCCACCUACUGAGAUAGAUCCCAUCUUGGCAUCUUCUUUAUAAAUGAGGGGUCCGAGACACAGAAAUACACACUGGCUAUGAAGAAAAAAAAUUAUUUGCAGCUGCCCUCGCCUCCAAAUAAAUGUCUGAGAGCUUAACCAUCCA